GCCUGGGUGGCUCAGUUGGUUGAGCAUCUGACUUCAGCUCAGGCCAUGAUCUCGUGGUUCACAAGUUUGAGCCCCACAUCCAGGCG
rnacentral:tRNA from 1 species